UUGCAGGCUGCAACUCGCCUGCAUGAAGUUGGAAUUGCUAGUAAUCGCGAAUCAGAAUGUCGCGGUGAAUACGUUCCCGGGCCUUGUACACACCGCCCGUCACACCAUGAGAGUCGAUAACACCCGAAGCCUGUGAGCUAACCUUUUAGGAGGCAGCAGUCUAAGGUGGGGUCAGUGAUUGGGGUGAAGUCGUAACAAGGUACC
rnacentral:rRNA from 1 species